rnacentral:rRNA from 1 species
UACCAGCACCCCGAGUGGUCGGGACGAUUAUUGGGCCUAAAGCAUCCGUAGCCGGUCCUACAAGUCUUCCGUUAAAUCCACCUGCUUAACAGAUGGGCUGCGGAAGAUACUAUAGGGCUAGGAGGCGGGAGAGGCAAGCGGUACUCAGUGGGUAGGGGUAAAAUCCUCUGAUCCAUUGAAGACCACCAGUGGCGAAGGCGGCUUGCCAGAACGCGCUCGACGGUGAGGGAUGGAAGCUGGGGGAGCAAACCGG